rnacentral:lncRNA from 1 species
CGACAACAUAGCAAGGCAGCAACACAUGACAACACAGCAUGGUAGCAACACAACAUGGCAGCAGCACAACACAGCAUGGUAGCAGCACGAAACAUGGUACAAACAUUAUUGGGCACAGACAACAGCACAAAGGGAAAGAAGGAAGAGACAAUACAUUCAGCAAAGCAGCCCCAACUGUCAGACCUGAGCCCUAGGACCAUGCCUCAGGACUACCUGGCUUGAUGACUCCUUGCUGUCCCCAGCUCACCUGGCCGUGCUGCUGCUCCAGUUCUAACUGUUCUGCCUGCAGCUAUGGAACCCUGACCUGUUCACCGGACGUGCUACCUGUCCCAGACCUGUUGUCCCAGACCUGCUGGAACCCUGACCUAUUCACCGGACAUGCUACCUGUCCCAGACCUGCUGUUUUCAACUCUCUAGAGACAGCAGGAGCGGUAGAGAUACUCUCAAAGGUCGGCUAUGAAAAAGCCAACUGACACUUACUCUUGUGUUGCUGACUUGUUGCACCCUCGACAACUACUAUGAUUAUUAUUAUUUGACAAUGCUGGUCAUUUAUGAACAUUUGAACAUCUAGGCCAUGUGCUGUUAUAAUCUCCACCCGGCACAGCCAGAAGAGGACUGGCCACCCCUCAUAGCCUGGUUCCUCUCUAGGUUUCUUCCUAGGUUUUGGCCUUUCUAGGGAGUUUUUCCUAGCCACCGUGCUUCUACACCUGCAUUGCUUGCUGUUUGGGGUUUUAGGCUGGGUUUCUGUACAGCACUUUGAGAUAUCAGCUGAUGUAAGAAGGGCUAUAUAAAU